rnacentral:lncRNA from 1 species
UUCAUUUUCCUGAGAAUAUUCUUAUAGAGUAUAGCGAUAUUUAUUGCAUCAGUAUGUGAAUUGAACCGUAUUGAAUAAUAUUUAACCACAUCAAAUGACAUUUCUUUAUUUGAUAAUAGGCAUGUAAACCACAACCUUCUAGCCAUUUCUUCUCAUUUGUGUUCCUUUAAAUGUCAGGAAGUUCCUCAAUCCAGAAUUGGCUACUCAGAAGAAGUGGAAAGUGGAAGACGGACAAUGCUAUGGUUUCUCAAUUUGCUGUUACAUGUGAACAAUUUAAU